ACCGCUCCAGGUUCCUUCCCCAUCAGACCAAAACGCUAGUCUGAGUGGUCAUGAAGGGAGGAAACGUAAAAAUGAAGAUGACUUCAUAUUUUUUGUGACCUACAAGCUAGACUCAAAAACAG
rnacentral:snoRNA from 1 species